rnacentral:lncRNA from 1 species
UGACAUUGUCAAAGAAGCUGACCGUAGUGGAUGAACUUUUAUCAAGUGAUCCUUUGUACUUGGCAAAGGUGAGCUUACUACAUUGAUUCCUGUAAUACUUGUCAGCUGAACUUGUUCAGGAUCUAGUAUGAACAACUAAUUAAUCUGUUGGUUCCUUUGAUUUUUGAGGCUGGAAGAGAGCGUCAGAGAUUUGACUUCGAUGAUUUUGACCCUGUUUCUCAGAAAUUCAACAUUUAAUGGAAAUUGGAGGAUUUUUGAAUAUAAGUGUUAUUUAACUGAGAAUGAUGCUAGGCUGCUGCACAUGGCUCCAUGUUAAAAGAAAUGGUAAAUUUAAAGCCCUCGUUUCACUUCAGAGCAUAAAGAUUUUUGGCGUCAAUUUUCUUUUCUUUUGCUAGGUUUGUCUUUUAGGUAUAAGCUGCAGAUUAUGAUAGAAGUCCAGUUUAGUUUGCAACUCAUUUCAAGCAUUGUAUACAUGUUCUGUCUAUCUCCAGGACAAAGCUGCUUGCUCUUUAUUCUUAAUAUUUCAUGUGGAGUUUUGAUAUGGACAUGAAUCUUGAUGCCCUGUUGAAUUUGCCAUAACCUAUUGAAUGUUGUUGCUAGGGUGAGAAACAAACAUACCAGAAUUCUUGAAUGGUGUAGAAACAAAUAUUAACAAUUAGCAAACAAAACCAUAACAAAAGCACUGUUCACUCUUGUUAGCUCUAGAUUUUUGUCAAAUUUGUACAGUCCAGUCCCUGUAUUUUGCAAGAUUUACAAUUUUAUUGUUGAACUUAAUUUCUUAUUAAUUUUAUCCUUUAAAGUUAUGUUUUCAUUGUUUUAAUCUAAUGUGUUCUUAAAUGUUUCGAUGUAAGAAACAUGACAUUUUCACAAAUGGCACAGAAGUUUUAUUUCAUCCAUCCAAUUUCAAUUUGUUUAUCUUAUGUCCUUGUUCUUUUAGGUUAUUGUGUUUUGACUCUAUACUUUAUUUUAGUUAUAUUUUAUUAAUUGCAAGUUGAGAGAGAACAUAUAAAGUUAUCCAAGGAGAGAGAGUGAUUUUAGCCACCAAUUACUUCAGUUAUCCAAGGAGAGAAAGUUCAUGCACAUAUGAUGAACUAGACUAUUUGCAAAUAUCACCACCCAAGUUUACACUCCAAUGGGACUACAACUAGAAUGUGAUUAUGGAUCAAAAUCUCAUAAAUCAUCUUAUGAACACGAUAUUUGGAUGUCUUUGCCAAACAUGAUUGAAGUGCUUAUAACUUUUUUUUUUCUUAAGUGAAUAUUAACCUUUUAAGACCAUGAUAAACUCAUUAUCUGCACUGUGCAUUUUAUGGUUUGGUAACAAUAGAUAUGAAUUGCAUUAUUGGUGGGGACACCAGACUCAUACUGUAAUUCCUGCAUCUUCUGCAAGAAAUUGUCCAUCAUGUAAUUUGGCGCACCAAGAUUCAUGCCGAGAAAGCAUGGUAGUUCCAUAAAUCUGUCAUUUAUUAAAAGUAUGGUCAUUUAAUAUAUAUAUCAUCACUUUGUCAUCAUACAUGUGUUUGUGUGUCAUGAAAUCAUGAAAUUCUAGAAAUGUCAACAUUGUAUAGAGAGUUAUAUGUUCAAAGAUGCUUGGAGGCUGAAAAGAGCACCUUAUGGGAGUUAAAAGUGGGGGAGCGAGGAUCAAGACGAGGAUGUGGGAUGCAUUUCUUUGUUGCAGUUCCUUGUUUUCAAGAAUUGAUUGGAUCUUGGUUAAUCUAUUAGUUUUCUUUUGUGCUUUCUUUGUUUCAUCAAUUUAUUUGACUUUUGCUUGAUCCAUUUAAUUGAGCUACCCUGUGAUUUCUCUUACAAGUGUCUUCUACAAUUGGAGAUAACGGACCUGACAAUAUAUUUUUUUUUCAUUGUGAGUGAUCAUGUCCUUGAUUUGUUUUUUUUUGGUGCCCUUUUUUGAAUAAACUUUUAUUGGAGUUAAUUGAAAUCAAAAUUUUGUUAUGGGCUUACAAUACGUUUCUUUAGUAGCCAUUCGUUUUGUAUUGAGUGAUCUCUUCCGCAACCUAUGCAAUUAUGACAGGCAUCAACUACUCGAUGUAUGUUUCAUCAUACACUCAUUUCCAAUCUAUGAGAUUGAGGUAUUUUCUCAAUGUCACCCUUUUAAGUUUGUAUUCUAAUAACUGCUGUUAUUUAACUGGGAGGUGCAGGGCAUCAAGUUUUAUCUGCUUUCAUUGAGAUUGUGUUGAUAAUUCUGACAAUGGCAUCCCGGUAAUACUUCAUAACCUACUUCCUUUUCUUUUCUGAGGUAUUGAGUGUAAAUAACGGUCCACAUCUUAUUAUGAAAGGAGAAGGAUCCUGAUUUUUAUGUUCAUUUUUUUCUUCUUCUAACAUAUAAUCUUAUCUUUAUCAUUACAAAAUCUUCUCCCACAAUGCUCCAGAAUUUCUUUUGAAUUAGUUGUUUUGUCAUGAGGCAUAAUUUUCUUUGAGUAGUUUAGAAAGUCAAACUGUGGCCACCAUUGAUUGGGAUAACAAUCUUGUAUUCUGCCACUAUCCUUCCAUCCAUGCAUGAAAUUGGAAACCUUGUAAUGCUUUAUAGAGGAACUAGGGGGGGAAUCAGGG